rnacentral:rRNA from 1 species
UACGGGGGUGGCAAGCGUUGUUCGGAAUUACUGGGCGUAAAGGGCUCGUAGGCGGCCAACUAAGUCGGAUGUGAAAUCCCCAGGCUUAACCUGGGAACUGCAUCCGAUACUGGAUGGCUUGAAUUCGGGAGAGGGAUGCAGAAUUCCAGGUGUAGCGGUGAAAUGCGUAGAUAUCUGGAGGAAUACCGGUGGCGAAGGCGGCAUCCUGGACCGACAUUGACGCUGAUGAGCGAAAGCUAGGGGAGCAAACGGG